CUUCCGCAAGUCUGGCUUAGCCAGGAACCAUCAACCAUAAGCAAUAAGAUCUGCACGGCCCUCAGCCACAGCAUUGUUCCCAUCUUCCCUGUCAUAACCACUAGCAGCAAUGAAGGUACCAUUAAAAGCCUUUCUCAUGGGUACAAAGACUCUGGGGGCUAUCACAUUUUUCUCCAGCUGUCUUCAUCCUAGGCUCAACCAUAUGGCAGUACGGGAUCCCAUAUUUGUUCAACAAAUUGGCCAGAUAAAGGCCCAACGCUUUCGGAUCUGAAUCCCCUGAUUCCAUAUAGCUGGCAAAUGGAGAUAAUCUAAUUCCAACUUUAUCCGCUCCUAUCUCAUUAACAACAGCUUCAACGACUUCCAGAGCAAAUCGACAACGAUUAUCCAAUGAUCCCCCAUAUUAGUCUGAUCGAUCAUUCACUUGAUCUUUUAGAAACUGAUCAAUAAGGUGUCCAUGGGCCCCAUGAAUUUAUACUCCAUCAAAGCCUUUAUAUCAGACAAAUAAUUUCAGUGCACCAAAUAUUAUUUGUAAUCUAGCAUGAAUCACACAUCUAGUUAAACUGCAAUUAACGCCCUUAACUACAUUUAUAAGAUUAGAGAUGGUUUGUUUACUUCUGUUGAAAGUAAUUUUGAGUUCUCGCCAAUGUUUUAAAAGGCUCACCUCAGGGCGGGUAUAGACGCCCUAUGAGGCUGGACUUGAGGAUUGCCGCCUAGGUGGCAGAAGGCGUGCCUCAGGGCUUUUUUUUUUUUUUAAUAAGUCCCAAACCUUUUGGAUAGGGUAUUAACUGUCUCAUACCUCUUCCUUGCACUAUCGUCUCUCUGCCUUUUUUUCUGAUUUUUAUUUUUUAUAUAAUGGAUGUAUGUGUUGUCUACAUGCAUUGUUAUAUGUGUGCUCAUUGUGUUUUUUAUCCUCAAUUAUUGUUCGAGCCCAAAAAUAUUGGUUUGGGCCGAGUUUAGAAUUGUUCUCGGCCCAGUAUUGGUUGGGCUGAGUUUAGAAUUGUUCUCGGCCCAGAGGUCGUGUUUAGGUGUCGUUGGGGGUUAUCCAACUCAUGGGCCGCGCAGUCGAAGCUGGCCAUAUCUCGUCAAGAACCUGUGGGAUAUGGGUGAGUUCUAUUACGAGAAGGAGUUUCGACAUGAUAAGGAUGUUAGAGUUUGAGAUUGAAUGCGGCCUGAUAACGAGUAAGUUCAAAGUCCUAGUAGGAGUAGGACUGGCUGAGAUAAGGUUGGAUCGGGGAAAGGAAUUCUAAUCCAAGAAUGAUUGGGAUUCAAUACAGGUUGGCUACUAUAAAUAAGGAGGGAGGACAUCGAACAAAGCCCCUCCAAUUCAACACACAAAUUGCCCUACGCAAACCCUUACUCUACUCAAAACCUCUCAACAAUCUUGAGAUUUUUGUUUUCCUUUUUCGCCAACACAUCUUCAGUUUGGAUAAACAGCACUGUGAAGGCAACCGACGAACAUCUUCAGUUUGGAUAAACAGCACUGUUGCCGUAGAAUCAGCCGACUGUGAAACACCUUCAGUUUGGAUAAAUAGCACUGCGACCUGGCCAACUGGUUAUCUAUCCAAGUCUCGGUCGAGAAAGAUUUUUGAAUCCUUAUUGGCAGAGGUUAUCUCGUUAGCCUUCUCGGCGAAGUGAGGUGUUACAAGUUACCAUACUCAGCAUACUGAACGUCGAGUUGUUUAUGAUUGGGUAUUUACAAGUAGGUUUUAGAGUUCGGCAUUCUGACGGCCAAACCACUUUCACAAUCAAGACGUACAUUUGUUUUGAGUACUUGUGCCCAUAUAGUCUGGUGUCGAUUCGGCGUGUUUAUACUUUAACAAAUAUAAUCACCAUGACCGAAUCCGGCACCGAUGAUUUAUGAACUUCGCAGAACUAGUAGCCUUGUCUUCAGGCUCUAGAACCCGAAGGCCGAGAGUGGUCCUUCCUCAGCCACAGUUGCAAGAUCAAAAAGUCAGUCGCGCGCUCAAUGCAACAUCACCAUAUUUUACUCCUCGACCAAGCUCGGCCGACAAGUUGGCAUGCCCUGCAUACAAUUGAAGGACGUAGUUAGCUUGUUAAUUACUCGGCCUGCAUGCCACGUAGGCAUAGUAGUUUUUUGGGUCAACAUUUUGGCAAAACCGGUGGGACCCAGUGCUAAAACUACGAAGUUCAUGACCAUCGAGACACGAUCGGUAAAAAAGAAAACAACCAUGGGAAAAUCAGCGACCAAUCUGCCGAUUCAGAGUCCUGGACAAGAGGUGUCACAUGCGUGAAAUCCUAUUGUCGCUGUGACCCCUGAGGCUGCAAGUGUAACACACCAAGAAAAGGAAGUGUGCCUCGGUACCUAGCCUCGAAAUGCAUAAGUACCCAACCGAACCGCAGGCGUUUUCAUUGAAAGAAUAGUGGAUGACUGCGACGAAGAAGAUGGCGAAGGCUUUGACCCUCCGACUAGGUCGUUUCUUCGAAGAUGACUUGAUAAGCAAUCUCGACAAGUUGAACAGACAGUUGGUCAAAAAAUGAACAGUUUGCUCGAAGUGAUAUGAAGCAAUAGUGAGACCCACACCAGAUUACUCGAACUAUUAGUUAGCAAAGUCUUCGAAUGAGGAUCGGUUGAUCAGGCUCAGCCCAAAAGUAGUGUCUACUCGGUCCAAAACGAUUGACUUAGAAAAAAAUGGAGGAUCAAGUAGUAGGUCAGAUGGAUCCGACCAGAGAGUGGAAGCAACAUCCGUCGAUGUGACCGAGAUCCAACGAAUGAUCGAUUCAGCCAUGAAAAAAAGGCCGAAGUUCCCGAAAUUCAUGCACCCAUAUCCAGCUUAUGUGGAAAAGUUCAAAUAUCCUAAAGGUUUCGAGAUUCCAGAUUUCAACCUUUUUGUUGGAGAAUCAUCCUUAUCCACGUUAUAACACGUGGCUCGUUUCACUGCGCAAUGUGGAGAUGUCAAUAGUGAUUUUCAUAAACUACCGUUGUUCAACUUUUCGUUGAUAGGCUCAACAUUCGCAUGGUAUAUCAACCUCCCAUCUAAUUCUAUCCAAAGCUGGAAGGAGUUGGUCGAGAAAUUUCACGAACAGUUUUAUCGCCCGGGGAUGGAAAUGUCAAUUUCUUCAUUGGCUAGGAUGGCUCAAGCAUCUGAUGAGUCACCAAUGGAUUAUCUUACAAGAUUUAAAUCGGCCAGGAAUUGGUGCCGAGUACCUCUUCCCGAAGUCGAAUUUGUUAAGCUUGCCCUGAAUGGGCUCAACGUUGAGUACAAAAAGAAAUUCUUGGGGGCAAACUUUCGGGAUAUGUAUGAAUUAGCCCAGCAUGUCGAGCAAUAUGAUUAUUUGCUCCAAGAAGAAAAGAUCUCGAAAUCCCCAUCCCAAGGAACGAUUUACAAAAAUCUUACGAUCAACUACGUAUCGACCGAAUGCGAAGAUUCCCAAUACGUCAGUGUGGAUGCGACCGAGAUAGUAAUAGAUAAACCAUAUGUUUGCAAGGCAUUGACUCAACUUAAUUCCAAGGAUGCCAAAACCCGCUCGGCCACUGAGGAGACGGCGAAAACAUCGAAAGUUUACACUUUUGAUAUCACAAAGGCAGAGGCAAUUUUCGAUCAAUUGUUAUUAGCAAAGAUCAUCAAACUUCGGCCAUGACAUAACAUUCCCAAAGCCAAAAAGCUUAAAGGAAAGACGUAUUGCAAGUAUCAUAAUUCGACCAAGCACAAACAACUGUGUCGUAUUCCGUGAUGAUAUCCAGAGCUGGAGUGAUGAAGGCAAGCUAAAGUUUCCCGAAAAACGGAUGACGGUCGACGUUGAUCCAUUCCCUUCGGCAACAGUCAACAUGGUAGACGCCCGUUUACCCAAGAGCAAAGGGAAAGGGAUGGCUAAGUUUGUCCCAGUACAACACGUCCCAAAGAAACAUUCCCAGUCACGACUCAAGAUCAACCUAUUUUCCAUUGAACCACCUACCAAGUUUUUAGGACCAGCUAUAGUUGAAUCCAUGUCAGAUUCCAGUGUAGAAGAAAGUGAUGGGCCGAUAAACAGUCAAGAGAGUGUCCUCAUUUUUUUUAAAAAACGGGGAUCCAUCUUGUUAAGGGAUUCCUUUGCGUAUGUACCUUGGUGUAGUUUCGAUCCUCGCAGAUUCGCUUCCUCCUAAACCCAAAACCACUUAGACUUUCUUAACUUUCUUAACUUUUGAAAUCUACUACAUAUGUUACCUUCCAUCUUUUUUUCUGUAAAAACAUGUUGCCACUCACGUGGAGGGAUAUUUUUCCGUCAAUCCACUUCCUAGAGCUCACUGCAAUCAAUUUGCACAAAGACAAAAUACAUUUUUUUUAGUAGCGUUAGAGUCGGGUCACGAAGAGACGGGUUUGAUUUUGACAAGGGUUGUUGAAGAAUUGAAGUGAAAAUGAUUGUUGGCAUCUACAUUUGUAGAAUUUGGUAGAUGGUGGCUGCUUGUGUUUUUAUUUGGGGGGGGGGGGGGGGGGUUUUGGUUCUUUAUUACUUAGACUGACUAAAAAUUCAAAUUAUUUAUUGUUUAACAUUGUAGUAUGUGUUUUGUGUCAGUUUUGUUGUGUUGGUGUAUAGGAUAAUUUGCUAAAGACAAUAGUCUUAGUCUAUUAGGUCCUUAUGCACAUUCAUUGUUUUAAAAAUCUCUGCCUAGCAUAGCACUGUCUAGGCGUUAGGAGGCUGACCACCAUUCUGAUUAAUUAAUAAAUAGCGCCUAGACUGCUUAGGCACCCGUCUAGGUCGCAACUCUUAUUUAGAUAGAAAAUAGAUAACUUUCAUUUUACAUUUUAUUUGUUUCAGUAUAUUGUAAGAGACUUAUUGGAUACUGAGAUGGACAUACAUUAUAUGUUUAUUCCUCAUGUUUUCAUUAUGUUCUAAUACUUUAUAAUUUAUGUCAUUCUAUUUUAUAAUUUAUGUAUUUCAGUGAAAUUAUCUAUUUUUUAAGUAUAAGCAGAUACUUAUUUAUACGAUAUAUCGUAGAUACUUAUUUAUACGAUAUAUCGUAAAUUUUAUUCACAUCCGCCUAGGCCCCCGCCUAGGUGCUAGACCACAGCCAUUGCCUGACUACUGCUAAACCUCAGCCCGCCAUCCGACUAACACCUGGCGUCUAUUAGAAUCUUGUGCAGAAUUUCAUGACCCCCAUUAUUUAGUUUAGCUUCACUCUUGGAGGUUAAAGUGAAAGCAUGCCUUAAAUAACCAAAAAGAGAUUUAUGCAAUUUCAACAUUGAUUGUAAUAGAGGAGCAGUUAGCAUCAUGCUAAUGUUGGAGUAGAAGAGAUUUGUAACAGAGAAAGCUCAACCAAAUAUCUUACAAAGUAAUUUGGUGGAUGUGGAUGUGCGAGAACAUGAAGCAUAGAAAAGAUUGACGAAGCUGAUGAUGUACGUAGAUUACGCGCAGAAUGUAGAAGAACCAGAGAGCCUGAUGGGUACAACUUGGAAGAACUUAGAAGCCUAUAUGGGAACUCAUCUAGUGAUGAAGAACCGGAUUCAAUGAGAAGGAAUAGGAGGAAGAAGAAACGACCUAAGUUUAAACAUCAUAGAAAAGAAACUGAUGUCAGUACCAUAGAGUUUGAUUUGGGGAUGUCUUUUCUUGUUAGACUAAACAUAAAAACCAAGUUCAUGUAACAUGAAUCACAGCCAUCCAAAAACAAACUGUAGUUCAUAACUAUUGUACAGAGUAGAAAUCUGCAGAUGCACCAGAAGAAGAAGCCAUAGUCAAUCUCAACAGCAAAACUAGUAAACCUUCUCCUCUUUCUAGAUUCAAAAUGCUCAAACUAAUAAUAGGUCUUAGUCCAAGACAGAGCGUAAUAUCUGACGAAUUACCAAUUCUCCAGACUCAUGCUCAUAUUCUUACAUUUCCAAGUUCCAAGGAAUUCAACGAAGCUGUAAAUAGACACUUUUAUAAUAUGCAGGUCUUACAAGUUAACCACAAAUGGUUGGUACAAGGUUAAGGCUCAAAUUCAUGCCCUUGGCAAGUUAUGCUUCUAAUGACCAAUCUGAUAGACAUUCUCCUUUAUAUGUAAAAACAUUUGUUCCAAAUCACACUUGUGGAAAAGAUGAAAACAAUACAAGUGUGACCAGUACUUGGUUGGCUGAUGAUAUGAAGAUCAAUCCCUUUUUCUUUUUUCUUUUUUUUUUUUUGAAUAAAGGACGGCAUAUAUAUAUGCAAAUCAAUCCUAAAAUGGAUGUUAAGACAAUGAAAGCUACAAUGAGGGAUUAUCCAUUCUAAUCCCUCUCCAAAUGAUAGGAUUGUGAGGGAUAAGUUUGUUUCAUUCCAAUCUAAACCUAGAGACGAAACGCGGCCAGAUAUUACAAAGACAAAGAUUCUAAAACAGCCUUCACUCAGAGAAUAAAAAAAGCCAUGCAGUGAGAACAUUUAAGGGAAACGAGUUGAUCCUCAAUAAAUGCCUCAAUAGAAUGACGUAUCUUUGUUAAAGCAUCUGCCACAAAAUUAGCUUCAUCUAAAACAUGAUAGAAGCUGAUAUGAUCAAGCAUCCCAUGUUUGCUGAAAAGAUGAAAGAAGGAUCUUUCCAAGUUUAGGAAGGUGGGAGUUGCCAAAGAGAAACCGAUUUGAGCCGCAUCUGCUCCAAAUAUCUCAGGCAAACGGUCAGCUGACAAAAUGCGGUCAAUGGCUUCAACAUCUUGAGAAUAAAAGGCACAACUAGGAUCAAUUGGUUGUACUUAGGGAUAAGAAUUGAGUUUCCUCUUUCACAAAUGUUACUUAUUCAUUCCGGCCAUUAUACGGUCAACAUUGAACAGAAAGUAUAACUUUUCCGGCCUCUAAGUCCGGAACCCUCCCAAACAUUGGACAUUACAAUACUAGAUAAUGCAAUAAGAUACAACAGUACAAUACAAUAUAGUUGAAAACAACCCAUCUAAGAUAGUACAGACUCAAUUGGAUGAAUCAAAGGAACCCUAGUGUUCAAGCUUCCAUCUUUGCGGUAAACUUAAGUGGUGGCUUCAAGAAAUGGAUAAUCAGUGUAGCCAAUCACGGGAUCAGGUAUGUAGAAUGUCUCUCUGUUGUACUUGUUUAGAGGAGCAUUAAGUUCAAAUCUCUUUGGCAAAUCCGGAUUCGCCAAGAAAAUACGGCCAUAAGCAAUAAGAUCUGCACGGCCCUCCGCCACAGCACUGUUUCCAUCUUCCCUGUCAUAACCACCACCAGCAAUGAAGGUACCAUGGAAAGCCUUUCUCAUGGGAAGAAGACUAUGGUGGGUUUCAGCUUUUUCUCCAACUGUCUUCAUCCUCGGCUCAACCAUGUGGCAGUACACAAUUCCAUAUUUGUUCAAGGCAUUGGCCAUAUAGAGGCCUAGUUCUUUUGGAUUUGAAUCCCCUGAGUCCAUAUAGUCAGCAAAUGGAGAUAAUCUAAUUCCAACUUUAUCUGCUCCUAUUUCGUUAGCGACAGCUUCAACAACUUCCAGAGGAAAGCGGCAACGAUUCUCUAGAGAUCCACCAUAUUGGUCUGUUCGAUCAUUCACAUGAUCUUUCAGAAACUGAUCAAGAAGGUAGCCAUGCGCCCCAUGAAUUUCAACUCCAUCGAAGCCUAUAUAGCAAAUUAACAAUUUCAACAUACUGACGGUAUUAGAACCUUAAGCAUUGUCGCUGAAUUACCAAACAAAUAAUGGUUAGUUAAUAAUAACAACGCUUUUAUUUUGCAUAAGCCUUGAAGCAAAUUGAGUUGUAAAUUUUGUUUCAUUUUAACGUAAAGACAAAUUACCAGCUUCAAUAGAAUUCCUUGCAGCAAGUCUAAAAUCAUUGACAAUUUGUGGAAUUUCAUCUGUCCUUAAUCGUCUUGGAGGUGUGAAUUCAGAAGCAUCAAUGCCAUUUAAUCGUAUCGGCUUGUCAGUAGAAGAUAUUGGAGCUUGCCCAUUUGGUUGAUAACCUGUAAGCAAGGAGAGAAAGAAUUACAACCUGAAGUCUAACGACAGUAACAAACAUCCACAGCAGCACUCUUUUAAGUGGGAAUCCCUUGUUACAAAUUACUAUAAAAUCGCUUGGUCUGAUGAACCACACGUGCUAUAUACUAGUUCUGAAUUCUGAGUUAUGUUAACAUCAAACUUUUUCCCAUCCAAUAAUAAUAAUAACAACGCUUCCGAAACAGCAAGGUCAUAAAAGUGGUGUCUUCUUAUGGGUUAUGUUAAAAACACCAACUCGGAACUUACAAAACACCAACUCGGAACUUAACAAGUCCAAGUUUUAUCGUCACUUGAGCAACAAUGUUGUCAAUUAUAAUCACUUGCUCGUUCUGAUGCAUACACCAUUAUGUUAUACAUCAAACUUCCUAAUCGGUCUAAUUAUUCACUCAUGUUAACAAAGCAUUCUAUGGUAAAAGUGAGGUCAUAAAGGUGCAAGUCAGAAACGCACCGCUAUUAGAAACCCUUCCAACAUGCCAAAUCUGACAGAAGAAGAUGCCACCUUUAGCAUGAACAGCAUCAACAAUGGGUUUCCAGGCUUCAACUUGCUCCUUUGUCCAUAUACCAGGUGUGUUGGGGUACCUUCGUAUAUUAAAGAAACAAAAAUUUCAUCAAACUUCGAAAUGGAAGAAGCACCCGUUUGUUAGUCUAUGAAUCUACUGUUGUUGAAAUUACCCUUGAGCUGUGUCGGAAACUCCAGUGGCUUCCGCUAUAAGAAGACCCCCGUUCGAGGUUCUCUGAGAGUAAUAUAAGAUAGCAUGUGGUUGAGGAACAUUGUUGUAUGAUCUCUGUCUGGUCAAUGGUGCUAAAACAAUUCUGGAAAGGAAAAAGAACUUGUAAAUUAUAAAUACAGAGUGAUCAAGACGGAAUGUGGCCGAGGAACAUUAUCGAAUGAUCUGUAUCUAGUCAUCAACGGUGAAAAUACAAUUCUAAAGAGGAAAAACAUAUAAUAAACCAUAAAUACAACCUUCAGACUUUGUAGGAAGCAUUAGUUUGCUAAGGCUCUUUGAUAACAAAUUUGCUUUUAGUUUUCUUGUUUUAGUUAAAAAGGAGAAACGAGGGAGGAAGAAGGAAAUUGGGACGAAAAAGUGUGAAAUAAAAACUCGAAUUGUAGACUAUCUGAAUUUGCUUUAUGUUUUUCAUUUUUGGUAGCUUUCCAUGCACGUUUUGUCCCUCAUCCAUCCCUUCCCCCUUCCUCUUCCUCCUUCCCCUCUUCUAUCAUGCAUUUUCUCUAUCCUUCACUUAAAAUUAAAAAUUAAAAAUCAAAUACGAAAUCGUUACCAAACACAACCUAAAUAAUGCAAUGUCUUACAAAGUGACCAUGGCCGAAAGGACACAUACUUUUAACAAUCAGUUGCAUCUAUUUUCAACAAUUAAUCAAUGACUCAAAUGUACUAUUGUUUUCAUUUAAUUUGUAACAUCGGUACUAUUUUAUAGACAAAGAUACAGUUCUAAGGACACUUCCUGUCUCCUUCCCAACAUCUGUACUAUUUUAUACCAACAGGAUGCUUUCUGGAUUCUUUUGGUAAUGAUUUUGGAGUUCCAUGAAUCGUAUUCGUUCAUCGUACAUCGAUCAGUUAGUUUUUGUAAAGUACUGUUUGUAUUUAAUUUUAAAUAAAAAUAUUUAAAAUAAUUUCUAACAGCACGAUAUACGAUUAACGUACGGGAUCCUGAGAUCCUCACAAGGAGGAUCCGGAUUCUAUUUUAUAGACAAAGAUACAGUAACAAACACUCCUUGUCUCCUUCCCCAAAUCAUUCUUCUUUUUUGUAUAGCUAUAUUUGACACACACACAUGAAUAAACUACACAGUACGCUAAACUUGAAUAUAGACAAGCAGUAAUUUCAUCUUCUAUUUUUCUUGUUAGCCAGCCAUCUGCAGACCUAGCUACUCUCUGAAUCCAAGUUCGGAUCCCCUCUCAUAGUUUUUACAACAUUAUAUUAAAAUAACGCCCGAAUAAAAUAAAUUAAACAAUUACACGACAGAGAAAUUUAAGAAAGUAAACAAAUAGGAACAAUGUAUGAAAGUUUUAAGUACCUAUGAGAAAGAUUGAAGUUUCCCAAUUUGUAGGGAGUGAGGAGAGGAAUUGUGGGAGGUUGAGCAGCAGCAGACAUCUCAGAAUUCGAGUCGGUCGUCUGCCACCUGAUCUUGCACUUGGCCUUUAUACUGGAUUCUGGGAUGAAGGAAGGAAGGAAGGAAGGAAUGAAUGAAUGAAUACAGGACCCAAUUGGGUCUUUAUACGUUCAGUAGGAGCUUAAAAGUCCGCCCUGCAGCUUUCCUCCACAUAAGUCAGAGAGGGCCGGGUCCCACAUCUCCCCUCCCUUGUGUGGUGUGGCGGCGGCGGACGUCGGUGGUGGAUCUCUCCAGAGCAUUAAUUGAACCGAUUAGGUGGAGAGGUAGGAAGGUUUGAUGAGGUCUGUAAUUACGUUUACGUGGGUUGAAAAAGGACGUCCACGGAAUUCGGGUGUAACGCUAGCCGCAUGUUCAUUUCGAUUUUGCUUUUUCAUCCCGCAUUAUUGGGCCAUGGUUUGAAUAGUAUAUUGUUUAGGUCCUUAAGGACCCUCUCCAACCAGAAGGGUUAAAACAUAACUCGGUCUAAAAUUAUAAUUUUGUAAAAAAAUUAAUUUUAAAUGAACAGUGUUAGAUAGCUAGGCUAUGAUUCUAUCAAUUUCUUAUGGAUAGCUAGGCUAUAAUUCUAUCGAGCUCACUAAGCAUCAUUUAGCUAAAGGGGCAUUAAGCUGGCUAAAUAUAGCCCCCUCUUAACCUUUUUUUGGGGUCCAGCUCCUCUACUGCACUAUUUGAGUCAAAUUCAACACCUAUAUUUGAAAACAUCCAACAGAAAUUUAAUUAAAUUAACCAAUAAAUUUAAUACAUAAACUUAAAACUAAAUAAUUAUUGAGAGGGUUAUGUUUAGCUACUUCGGUGAUAGUAUAUAAGUAUGGCCCGAUACUUUUCAGUUCUUUUGGUUGGAGAUGGCCUAAGGUCAUAAUUUUGAGGAUGUGAGAAUAAAUGCAUAUUAGUUACAAAUUUUUUAAUACAUCAAUAUUUUUACACUAAGGGGAGGGAGAGUUCGGUUAAGCCACACAAUGGGCAACCUAAUUUGGUAUCGAGUUUUCCAUUCACGAGAUUCGAACCUAAGACAUCUUACUUCCAAGUGAAUAGAAAUAUCACCAGACCGUAGUACUGAGUGACAGUUACAAAAUAAUAUUAGUUUAGAUCACUUGAAAUAUUUGACAACUUAAUAAAGAAAAUCCAUGAACCAUUAGAAAACUCAUUUUCUUUUUUUGUUUUAUUAAGUUGUCAAAUAUUUAAGCUUUUGGAUACAAACUAAUAUAAUCUUGUGGUUAAUAUGCAUUUGGUCCUCACAAAUCUUCAAAAUGAAAACCUUAAUUAAUCAAUGAAUUUAUGGCAAAUUAAUUAGUCUAGAAAUAAAAUACUCCAAUCAAUUAGCAUUGCACGAUUAAAAUGGAAAAUGACAAGGUUUAUAGAAUUUUGCAAAAAAUAUGUAAUGUAGGUGUUCCCUAACGAGUGCUUUUAACACAAUGGGCAUACUCUCUAUCGUGUAAAACUUUCUCGAGAAAUAAAGUUGAGAUUUAUUCAAAUCUGUACAAGGAAGUUUUUCUUUCGCAUCACUAUUUUUCUAUAAUCGUAAUUUUUUGGGCAUAUAGAUUCAUUGUAAGGAUGAAUUGCGUAUUUUUAUAGGGGUGUAUUUAAUUGGGAUUUUAUUUUUUUUUAAUGAAUCUUGAGGUAUUCAAUCAGGAUUUUAAGUGAUUCUCUAAAAUUCAAAGUGUAUUCAGUUAGAGUUUUAAGAUAGUUAUUAAAAUCCUUAGAAAUCCGGAUGUAGUCAAUUAGGAUUUUAAAGAAAUUUAUGACAUUCCGUGUAUUCAAUUAGAAAUUGAUUUUAAAGAACUUGAGAAAGUUAAGGAAUUUUAGAGAUUUUGUAGUGUAUUUUAAGCAUCCACAAAUCUCACCUCUCCCCAUGAGAUUUCGAGGAAGUUAAAUCAAAACUUUAUAUGGAAUCUCUACAAAUCAAUUAAACUCCAUAAAAAUCAAUGGAUUUAUAAAUCCAUUAAAGUUUCUCAAAUUCUCAAUUGAAUAUGGUUUGACAGGUUUUAAUUUUGAUCCAUGUCAUUUUCAAUUGGGGACUUUGUCAUGCAUAACAUAAUUUUUUACCGAGAUCCCUUUUUGGCCAAAAUAGGUUGCAUGGAAUAUUCUAACAAGAAAAAAAAAUCACAUUUGUAAGUAGUGUACUCUUCUGGUGGUUCAAACCAUUUCUCCUUUCCUUAUUAUAAUUUAGAGUACAAAUAAAGUUGUAUUCAACAAACAAUAAAGUCCUUGUGUACAUCAGGUAGAAUCAUUAAAGUUUCUCAAAUUCUCGAUUGAAUGUAAUUUGACAGGUUUAUUUUCAAUUGGGCAAAUUUAGACUUUGUCAUACAUAACAUAACUUUAUACCGAGACCCCCUUUCGGCCAAAAUAGGUUGCAUGGAAUAUUCUAACCAAAAAAAAAUCACGUUUGUAAGUAGUGUAUUCUUCUGAUGGUUAAAACCAUUUCUCCUUUCCUUAUUAUAAUUUAGAGUAGGAAUAACGUUGUGUUCAACAAACAAUAAAGUCCUUGUGCACAUCAAGUAGAAUCAUGAAAGAAAAAAAGGAAGAGAAAAAAUUUGCCAACAGUGGAUACUACUACAAUGUUUUUUUUACCAGGAGUUAAUUGGAGCCCAAUAUAACAUUCUUGCAUUAACGAGGGACGGUCAGGAAUAGAGAUUUAUAUCAUCCUUGAAUCCCAAAAGUAGAAUUAUCAUAACUUACCAAUUUUAUUAUAUGGAUAAUACUUGCAUUCCUUUCUUGAAAGGAUGAACUUAUUUGCACCAUGCAAAUAAUGUACAUUUAUCGUACAAAGUUCAUAAUCAAAAUUGUUCAAUUUAUUAAUCCUCAUACCCUUACAAAAGAAUUGGAGAUAAUUUAGUUAUUCAAAUGUACAAAACCAAUCAAAGACGUAGGUAUCAAGUACCAUAUUUAGGAUGAACUAUUCAUUUACGUGAUAUGUUUGAAUGGAUUAAACAAUUUCUGAUUCGAAUGAUUUUUUGCACGAAUGAUCUUCAAAUGAAAUUAAGAAAUUGAACAUGGCUCAUCAUUGAGUUUAUAUACUUAAGACAUGUCAUUCGCAAAUGGAGAAGACGAAUCAAAGAUAUAUCCAAAAGCCAGUUGAACAGAUGUACAAUCAAACGUCUAGAGGUUAAUUAUACUGUUAAUUUCCAAUAAUCAUAAUAUAAGAUCAUCACAAACUAUCUUUAUUAAAUUCAUUGGCACGGCAUGCAAUCAGUUAGCAUGUUCAAGUAACCACAAGAUACAACACUACACUUGAACUUGAUACAGAUCGAACAAUGCAGAAACUUACUAUACAAACGAGAAUUUUACAAUCUCGUCAGCCAAUUUCUGCCCCUCGAUUUGUUAUUUUCUCUAGUUAUCCAAACCGUGCAAGAAAAGCAACAAGAAAACAUGUACGCAGACUAAUGCGAGAAUUUCAGAAAGAAUAGAGUGUACAAGCUUCCAUAUGCUGCACGAAUCCUAUGCAGUGGUGUCAAGGAACGGAUAAUCAGUGUAGCCAAUAACCGGUUCAGACACGUAGAAUGUGCUUCUGUUGUACUUGUUCAGAGGAGCAUUAAGCUCAAACCUCUUCGGCAAGUCUGGGUUAGCCAAGAACCAACGACCAUAAGCAAUAAGAUCUGCACGGCCCUCAGCCACAGCAUUGUUCCCAUCUUCCCUGUCAUAACCACCAGCAGCAAUGAAGGUACCAUUAAAAGCCUUUCUCAUGGGUACAAGACUGUGGGGGCUAUCACAUUUUUCUCCAGCUGUCUUCAUCCUAGGCUCAACCAUAUGGCAGUACAGGAUCCCAUAUUUGUUCAACGAAUUGGCCAGAUAAAGGCCCAACGCUUUCGGAUCUGAAUCCCCUGAUUCCAUAUAGCUGGCAAAUGGAGAUAAUCUAAUUCCAACUUUAUCCGCUCCUAUCUCAUUAACAACAGCUUCAACGACUUCCAGAGCAAAUCGACAACGAUUCUCCAAUGAUCCCCCAUAUUGGUCUGCUCGAUCAUUCACUUGAUCUUUUAGAACUGAUCAAUAAG
rnacentral:lncRNA from 1 species